rnacentral:snRNA from 1 species
CUCAAUGAUUUCAACCACAU